UACGUAGGGGGCAAGCGUUGUCCGGAUUUAUUGGGCGUAAAGAGCGUGUAGGCGGCCAAGUAAGUCUGCUGUGAAAACUCGAGGCUUAACCUCGAGCUGUCGGCGGAAACUAUUUGGCUAGAGUCCGGAAGAGGAGAAUGGAAUUCCCGGUGUAGCGGUGAAAUGCGUAGAUAUACAGAGGAACACCAAAAUAGGCGAAGGCAGUUGACUAUUCAGUUUCUGACAUUGAGGCAUGAAAGCGUGGGGAGCAAAACGG
rnacentral:rRNA from 1 species